GAUGAACGCUAGCGGCAGGCUUAACACAUGCAAGUCGAGGGGUAGAAGGAGCUUGCUCCUUUGAGACCGGCGCACGGGUGCGUAACGCGUAUGCAAUCUACCUUUUGCAGAGGGAUAGCCCAGAGAAAUUUGGAUUAAUACCUCAUAGUAUGUGAGGAUGGCAUCAUUUUCACAUUAAAGUCACAACGGCAAAAGAUGAGCAUGCGUCCCAUUAGCUAGUUGGUAAGGUAACGGCUUACCAAGGCUACGAUGGGUAGGGGUCCUGAGAGGGAGAUCCCCCACACUGGU
rnacentral:rRNA from 1 species